rnacentral:lncRNA from 1 species
AUGGUGAGACUGGAGCCAGCACCACCCGCAUGUGCUCGCUGCUUUCUGUAUGCAGAAGCCUGCUGGGAAAGCUCUGCAGCAGCUCUGGUCACAGCUGGCUGGGCAUCUGGCUUGCUGGGCUUGGAGAUGGCUGAGGCUGGUACCUCCAAGAUGGGGCUGCAAGCAUUGGCUCUUGAGGUUUUGCAGAAAUGUGUUUUCCCUGCAGCUCUGCUCCUUGCCAGGCUGUACUUUGGCCAGUAAAUGAAAGAUAAAAAAUGUUAUUUUGUUGUUUUGGGUGUUCAGUGUGGUCCCAAGCCUAUAGAUGCAGGGAGGGGAAAGGAAACCUGUUCCUUCCUAACACGUUCAUGGGGCUGUUAGCACAGACCGCUCCUCUCCUUUUGCUGGGGGACUUGCUGGUGAGCUAGGUGGUGCUGUAAGGGAAGGGGGAUGCUGCAGCUCGGGUUGUUUAACAGCUGAAGCAUGCAGGAUCUGCUGUCCGACUCCGGCACGGCUUCAGCACUGCUUACGGAUGUCAGGUUUGUCACGUCUCUUCUCCCAGACACCUCGCUGCUGUCACAGCUCAGCGUCUGCCAUAUGUUGCAGCCCAGUGCUCAGAGGUAUGUUUUCCUCUGGGCAUGAUAGAAUCAGACCGUUUAAUUCUGGGCCUAGCGCUGUGUUCUCUGGCUUGUGCCCCUUUCCCAGUGAGGGGCUUAGGUAGCUCUCUCCAAGACCUGCAGACGCAUUUAGGGUGCCCUUACUCCGAGGGAUGUUGAACCCCACGUGUAAUGCGGUAACAACCAUAAUUAAAAUGUUUAUCGGUGAUGCUUGCAUGGUAAACAAAUGGUAAAACCCAAGGAGCACUAAAUUAGGCUGAACCUGUUCUGCCAUUUCCCUUCUGAACAGUAAUCCCUCUGGGAGCAGAAGACUCGACCAAGCCUAGUAAGAGGCAGAGUGGACCAGGGCAGCAGGAAGGGGGAUGUGGACUUGCGUAUCUGUCUUUUCCCUUGCAGCCAGAGUGUUUUACAAACUACUUUCUUCAGAAGAAAUAUAUAUUUGAUGUAAGGAGAACUACUUGAGUCUCAUGUUAGCAAAAUAUUUACUUUAUAGCUUGGAGCAUACAGAAAGUCCAGCGGAGUUGCUUUCUGUGCCCAUAACCUUGAAGUUAGGGCUCUAAUGCAGUGCUUUGCAGAAGGAGCUCAGGCGUGGGCUUGCUCAACUUGCUUUGCCAUUAUG